rnacentral:pre_miRNA from 1 species
UUGGGUGAAAUUCAUGAGGAUACCACACAUUAGAAAUGGAUCCAACAUAAAGUGGUGAGACUCAUAUGAGUUUCACCCAA